rnacentral:lncRNA from 1 species
GCAUUAUUAAGUAAUAAAAGAAUAUGCUAUCUAUAUUUAGAACCAUGUUGAAAAUGGAUGUUAAGAAUCACAGUCAUUUUGAAUUUAACAGUUGUCAAAUCUGUUAGUGAACAUUAACAGUAGAGAAAAGAAUCAUUAUGAGAUUGGUUACUUUUGACUUUUCAGAACAUUGGUCAAAUGAGUGUUGUGACAUCAUGACAUGGAGCCUCCACUCACAGUCAUCGUGGCAACGGGAGAACGUCAUCAAGUAGUUCUCUGAUGAUUUUUGGAAGAAAUGAUUCAACC